ACAAGCAUUUAUAAUUACUGCGUUACCUGUACAUGGUAUUCCAAUACAGGUUUUUAACAAAACUAACAAAACUUAAACAAUGGGUGAAUGUUUUCUGUUCUUACACCUUUUAUAAAAAUAGAACGGAGUGCUCGCAGAUUUUUU
rnacentral:telomerase_RNA from 1 species